rnacentral:rRNA from 1 species
UGCAGUCGAGGGGCAGCAGGUUUGUAGCAAUACAGAUGCUGGCGACCGGCAAACGGGUGCGGAACACGUACACAACCUUCCUUUAAGUGGGGAAUAGCCCAGAGAAAUUUGGAUUAAUACCCCGUAACAUUAUGAUGUGGCAUCACAUUAUAAUUAUAGCUCCGGCGCUUAAUGAUGGGUGUGCGGCUGAUUAGAUAGUUGGCGGGGUAACGGCCCACCAAGUCUGCGAUCAGUAACUGGUGUGAGAGCACGACCAGUCACACGGGCACUGAGACACGGGCCCGACUCCUACGGGAGGCAGCAGUAAGGAAUAUUGGUCAAUGGACGCAAGUCUGAACCAGCCAUGCCGCGUGGAGGAUGAAGGUCCUCUGGAUUGUAAACUUCUUUUAUAUGGGACGAAAAAGGGCCUUUCCAGGUCAACUGACGGUACCAUAUGAAUAAGCACCGGCUAACUCCGUGCCAGCAGCCGCGGUAAUACGGAGGGUGCAAGCGUUAUCCGGAUUCACUGGGUUUAAAGGGUGCGUAGGUGGGUUGGUAAGUCAGUGGUGAAAUCUCCGGGCUUAACCCGGAAACUGCCAUUGAUACUAUCAGUCUUGAAUAUUGUGGAGGUCAGCGGAAUAUGUCAUGUAGCGGUGAAAUGCUUAGAUAUGACAUAGAACACCAAUUGCGAAGGCAGCUGGCUACGCAUAUAUUGACACUGAGGCACGAAAGCGUGGGGAUCAAACAGGAUUAGAUACCCUGGUAGUCCACGCCCUAAACUAUGGAUACUCGACAUACGCGAUACACUGUGUGUGUCUGAGCGAAAGCAUUAAGUAUCCCACC